GGGGAUGGGACUCAGCGGUAGAGUGCUUGCCUAGCAUGCACAAGGUGCUAGGUUCAAUUCCCAGCAUCACAA
rnacentral:tRNA from 1 species